rnacentral:rRNA from 1 species
GGGAUAAAAGCCCACCAAGGCAAUGAUAGGUAGCUGGUCUAAGAGGAUGAACAGCCACAAUGGGAUUGAGAUACGGCCCAUAUUCCUACGGGAAGCAGCAGUAGGGAAUCUUCCACAAUGGACGAAAGUCUGAUGGAGCAAUGCCAUGUGAACGACGAAGGCCAGACAGGUCGUAAAGUUCUUUUAGAGGGGAAAAAUCUGAUGGUACCCUCUGAAUAAGUGACAGCAAACUAUGUGCCAGCAGCUGCGGUAAUACAUAGGUCGCGAGCGUUAUUCGGAUUUAUUGGGCGUAAAGCAAGCGCAGGCGGAUGAAUAAGUUCUGCAUUAAAAGCAGCUGCUUAACAGUUGUUUGUGCCGAAUACUAUUCAUCUAGAAUGUGGUAGAAAGUUUUGGAAUUAAAUAUGGAGCGGUGGAAUGUGUAGAUAUAUUUAAGAACACCAGAGGCGAAGGCGAAAACUUAGGCCAUUAUUGACGCUUAGGCUUGAAAGUGUGGGUAGCAAAUGGGAUUAGAUACCCCAGUAGUCCACACCGUAAACGAUGGGUAUUAGAUGUCGGGACUUGAGUUUCGGCGUUGUAGCUUACGUGUUAAAUACCCCGCCUGGGUAGUACAUAUGCAAAUAUGAAACUCAAAGGAAUUGACGGGGACCUGAACAAGUGGUGGAACAUGUUGCUUAAUUCGAUAAUACACGAAAAACCUUACCAAGGUUUGACAUCCUCUGCAAAGCUAUAGAAAUAUAGUGGAGGUUAUCAGAGUGACAGGUGGUGCAUGGUUGUCGUCAGCUCGUGUCAUGAGAUGUUUGGUUAAGUCCCGCAACGAGCGCAACCCUACUCUUUAGUUACUUGUCUAAAGAGACUGAACAGUAAUGUAUAGGAAGGAUGGGAUCAC